UUUUUUACUUGUUAUGUUAAUAAUAAGAUUAGUUAAAAAUAAUAAAAAUCCAUUAAAGUAUAGGAUAGCAAACAAAACAUAAGGUUUAUCUCCUCUUCCUGGUGUGACAGAAACUUUCAAACUCAGAAAUCCAACUCAAGAACCAUGCCUCUCUACCCUUAAAUCAAUAUCGCCCAAAUCAGGCUCAAACAAUGCAGUCAAAGGGAACAACACAACAUUGGUAAGGGAUAGCAAAAGGCGUGUGAGUCUUUCAAAGAAUAUGGUGGUUUAUCAGCCUCGGGGGCUCUUUUACGGUGGAGCGUGUUUGUGUUGCGUCAACGGCGGGGGUGUCGCAGUCGGUUUUUCGGCGGAGGGCGACGUGGUUCGGAGAGGGCACGACUAUUGAACUCCGGUAAGGUUCGGUUUGAAUUUCGAUUCAAUGUGUUUUUGGUUUUCGACUCGAUUUGGAUUGCGACUGUUUUUUAGAUAUCGAUUUUGAGAUGCAUAUGCCUGAGCUUCUCUUAAUGCACUUGAUUUUAGACUCUGUUCUAUUCUAAUUUUCAAUUCAUCUUUUCCUAGGUUUUCGAUUUGUUUUCGGAUUCAGUUCGGGUUCUAUUUCAAUUUCAACUUGUUAUUAUUUUAGAUUUUUAGACAGGUUUUAAAGGGUUUCGAUUCAUUAAAUGUUUCUGCUUGUGUUUUUUUAUUACUUGAAGUUGAUAUAUGGUUCACAUGUGAAUUGCAGGUUGUAAGGUGAAGUUUGGAUAAGUUGGUUUUGUGAAGGAGAUUGCGGACUUGGUUACGUUUUUUCUUAGAAAACAUUUUACAAAGGCAAUGUUUAUAGACCUAAACUAAAUUUAGUUUGAAAUUGAAACAAGUUAUGAAUAUUGAUUUUAAAAUAGGUUAUGAGAAUUUGAUUAUGCUAUUGCUUUUUCGACAUAUGUUAUGGUUCGUUAAUUUAAAACAGUUUAUGGUUUUUUUAUUAAAAAAAAGUUGAUUCCCUUA
rnacentral:lncRNA from 1 species